rnacentral:rRNA from 1 species
UAGCAGCCACCCUUGAGAGAGUGCGUAAUAGCUCACUGGUCAAGUGAUUCCGCGCCGACAAUGUAGCGGGGCUGAAGUACACCGCCGAAGCCGUGACAUCAAGACAUUGGUCUUGUUGGGUAGGGGAGCGUCCCUCAUGAGGUGAAGCAGCAGUGUGAACUCGCUGUGGAUUGUGGGGGAGUGAGAAUGCAGGCAUGAGUAGCGAUUUGAGGGGUGGGAAUCCCCUCCGCCGUAUAACUAAGGGUUCCAGGGCUAGGUUUAUCCUCCCUGGGUUAGUCGGGUCCUAAGGCGAGGCCGACAGGCGUAGUCGAUGGAUAACCAGUUGAUAUUCUGGUACCGGCUUUUGAUCCGUCCAACAUUGUAUCUAGCAGUGAGUCUUUACCGCUGGACACGAGUUUUUCAUUCCGCUUUUGUGGUGGUUUGUUGGGUUUGUGUUUGGUCGUUUUGGUGAGCGUGGGUAUGGUGAGCGUGUUAACAGGGGUGACACAAAGUGGUAGCUGCUGCACACCGGUGGUUGUGUGUGUCUAAGCGUGUGGCCUGUUCCUAGGUAAACCCGGGAACGUGAUAGGUGAGGCGUGAUGGGAAUCCCUUUUGUGGGGUUUAGUGGUGAGCCUGUUUUGUCAAGAAAAGCCUCGACGUGAGGGUCAAAGCCGCCCGUACCUAAACCGACACAGGUAGUUAGGUAGAGCAUACUAAGGCGUACGAGUGAAUCGUGGUUAAGGAACUCGGCAAAAUACCCCCGUAACUUCGGAAGAAGGGGGACCCCUGAGAGUGAUCCAUCCACGCGGUGGUGAGCGUUUGGGGGUCGCAGAGGAUAGAGAGAAGCGACUGUUUACUAAAAACACAGGUGCGUGCUAAGCCGUAAGGCGCUGUAUACGCACUGACGCCUGCCCGGUGCCGGAAGAUUGAGAGGAAAGGUCAACACGCUCUUGAGUGUGUGAAGCUUUGAAUUGAAGCCCCAGUAAACGGCGGUGGUAACUAUAACCAUCCUAAGGUAGCGAAAUUCCUUGUCGGGUAAGUUCCGACCUGCACGAAUGGCGUAACGACUUCUCUACUGUCUCAACCACGAGCUCGGUGAAAUUGCACUACGAGUAAAGAUGCUCGUUACGCGCAGCAGGACGGAAAGACCCCGGGACCUUUACUAUAGCUUGGUAUUGGUGUUCGUUAGUGUUUGUGUUGGAUAGGUGGGAGACUGUGAUACCGGCACGCUAGUGUUGGUGGAGUCAUUGGUGAAAUACCACUCUGAUAUUAAUGUGCAUCUAACCUUGAAUCCUUAUCGGGUUUGGGGACAGUGCCUGGUGGGUAGUUUAACUGGGGCGGUUGCCUCCUAAAUGGUAACGGAGGCGCUCAAAGGUUCCCUCAGCCUGGUUGGUAACCAGGUGUUGAGUGUAAGUGUAAAAGGGAGCUUGACUGUGAGACUGACAAGUCGAGCAGGGACGAAAGUCGGAACUAGUGAUCCGGCCACGGCUUGUGGAAGCGUGGUCGCUCAACGGGUAAAAGGUACCCCGGGGAUAACAGGCUGAUCCUGCCCAAGAGUUAA